rnacentral:lncRNA from 12 species
UUAUUUAGGUAGCAUGUUCUAUCAUACUUGUAGCUCUACUCUUGGGUUGCCAGUGCUGCUGGGUUGCUUAAGAUGUUAACAUACUGACCUUAGGAGGAACAAGGACAUUCUGAUACUGUUGUGCCCAAUGGAACAAACCUAAUGGGAUCCAGGACUCUCUGUGGAUGAACAGUUUCCCCAGCAGCAGGGUUUAGAGCUGCCUUAGGACCAGGGGUCUCUCCCUCCCCAGGAAGCUACAGAACAUGCGUAAAAGCAGCAGCCAGAGGAAAGCAUGAGGAUUUGGUGGCCAAAUAGAUCCAUCUUUGAAUUCUACUUUUACUUGGGUCAGUGUUCUAUUGUUCUGUGUCCUCUACAUUUGCACAUGCACAGAGAGUAUAGUGUUUAGAGAAGCAUGGUAGGGACAAUUUAAAGGCCUUUCUACCAGGCGUGAAAAGAUGCUUGCUCCAGCUACUCUUGGCUCCUUCGCAUUUAUAUUGACGUCCUCACCAUCCCCACAAGUGGGCAUUUGUACCCUGGGCAGAGCUGGAACAAGGCCAUUGCUACUGCAAAUUCCUCCCUGAACAGACUUUGGUCAGACUGUACUGGAGAAUUUAUAAUGGGAAGGUUGUUCGUCUUUCAUUCAUCGUUGAGAUCCAGAAAGACCCACCUGGCUACAUUCAGCUCUCUUCCACAUCCAGGGACAUGUGAAAUCAAUGGUUUCAGAUGUACAGAAGAAAAUCAAACUAUAACAACCCUGUCCCCUAAAUUGCUAACCACAGUUAUCUAUAUUUUAAUAAUAAGACUUUUAUUAAUAUUGGAAAUACUUCUUGUCUUACAACAUCCACUGAGUUGUUAAGUCCCUAACUGCUUCUUCCCAUCCCAUUUCCUUAAUAGAUCACCUGUAUAGAAUUUUAUGGACAUUCUAAGAAAUGUUAUAGACUCUGUAGUCUUGGACUGAAGUGGAGGAAAAUAAUACAUUUUUGUUAGGUCAAUCAAAUCAUGAUAUCCAUUUCAAUUAUUUCAUAAAGCGUAUUUUGGUGCAGCCAUAAUAGAAUCUUCCUUUUGAGACAUACUUUAUUUUCGCUCAACCUGUGGACAUAAUCUUUUAAGAACUGACAGCAUACCUAUAUCAGAUAGUAAACAAUCCCAUUUAUACAGAAGAUUUCCAAACCUGAUUUGGAAUAUUUGAAUGUGAAUCCUGGAAUUACUGAGAGAGACUGGUCCAAACAGGUGGCCUGCUCAGCUAUGAGUAGGACAAUAGAAGAAAACAUGUAUAAGAUGAAAAAAAAUAAACACUCCAUGAAACCAUUAGUGUGGCUUGUA